GAUGAAAACGCAGCGAAAUGCGAUAAGUAAUGUGAAUUGCAGAAUUCAGUGAAUCAUCGAAUCUUUGAACGCACAUUGCGCCCGCCAGUAUUCUGGCGGGCAUGCCUGUCUGAGCGUCAUUUCAACCCUCAUGCCCCUAGGGCGUGGUGUUGGGGAUCGGCCAAAGCCCGCGAGGGACGGCCGGCCCCUAAAUCUAGUGGCGGACCCGUCGUGGCCUCCUCUGCGAAGUAGUGAUAUUCCGCAUCGGAGAGCGACGAGCCCCUGCCGUUAAACCCCCAACUUUCCAAGGUUGACCUCAGAUCAGGUAGGAAUACCCGCUGAACUUAAGCAUAUCAAUAAGCGGAGGA
rnacentral:misc_RNA from 1 species